rnacentral:tRNA from 1 species
GGGGAUGUGGCUCAGUGGUAGAGUGCUUGCCUCGCAUGUGUGAGGCACUGGGUUAGAUUCUCAGCAUCACAU